AAAAUACUAGCACAGUCAUAGGAAACAUACAACCUUAAAAUAUGGAGCAUUUUAUUCAAUAUUUUUGGUCUAAAAUGUGAAAUUUAUUGUGUUCUGAAAGACAUCCCAACUUCCUAUGUGGAAUCACACAAAAUAUAAUAAAACUUUAAAACAAACUGCUGCUAUUUUAAGUACAUUAAACUCUAGUCUAGUGGCACUAAGCAACAGGAUCUAAUUCUCACCUACACACUUCACUUUAUACUUUCUUUAAGCUAAAGGAAAUAAAAGGAAGCACUCUAAAAUCAGCAAACAUUGAAUCUGAAGCGUUCUUUCGAUUAGAAGAGUUUGUUAUUAUUAUGCCUCCUGAACCCAGGAAUGCAGCACUACAGGUUUACAACAACAGGAAAAAAAUCAUUGCUAAAUAUAAGUCUAACCCUCAAAGUUUAAGAUUCUUUCCUGAUGAAACUGUUUAGCUUUAGACUAAGGAAGCUGUUGCAAAUGAACUCAGCCUUCAGCACAGCAAUAAAGAGGUGCUAAUACUUUGCUAAUAGCGCUUUUGUAAUAAAGGAAAUUUAUUUUAAAUCUUCAUAUUGUUACUCCUCUCCUGCUCUCCCUUCUGCCUGAAUGUGAACGAGCUGUCAGCUCCACGGACUAAAUGUGGGAUGCCUUCUUCUGAAGAUGGUUUGUGUCUGCUUCAUCAAGGAGCCAGGGGAGACGAUUCCUAGAUAAAGUUCAAGAAGCCUGGAUUAAUGUUGGAGUUUCUGGCUCGGCUCCCUAGCCUUGCUGCUGGUCCAAGGAUUGGGAUCCCAAAUGAAGAUCAAGUACUUCUAUA